rnacentral:rRNA from 1 species
AUUGAACGCUGGCGGCAGGCUUAACACAUGCAAGUCGAGCGAGCGGCGGACGGGUGAGUAAUGUCUGGGAAACUGCCUGAUGGAGGGGGAUAACUACUGGAAACGGUAGCUAAUACCGCAUACCAUCAGAUGUGCCCAGAUGGGAUUAGCUAGUAGGUGGGGUAAUGGCUCACCUAGGCGACGAUCCCUAGCUGGUCUGCGAGGAUGACCAGCCACACUGGAACUGAGACACGGUCCUGACGCCUAGGGGAGGCAGCAGUGGGGAUGAUUGCACAAUGGGUGCAAGCCUGAUGCAGCCAUGCCGCGUGUGUGAAGAAGGCCUUCGGGUUGUAAAGCACUUGCAGCGGGGAGGCGUUACUCGCAGAGGAAGCACCGGCUAACUCCGUGCCAGCAGCCGCGGUAAUUC